CACAAUCUCCAUCAUCCUCCCCUGCAACCUCACCCUCCAAAUCACCACGAAAAGCCUCUGCCCCAGCACCAAGCACCGUGAAGCCACCGGCAUCUGCACCUUCACCUUUGACAACUCCACCACCCAGUGCAGAUGCACCAUCCCCCGUCACCACCACCUCUCCUCCUUCUCCUCCUACAGAGACCGCUCCUUCACCUUCCCCAACUGGUGUCCCAACUUCUACUAUCUCUGACACUCC
rnacentral:lncRNA from 1 species